AUGAAUUAUUACUGAGAUUCUUAAUAAAGUCGUGUAUGGAAUAUGUAGUCUUAUUUACAUUUAAUUAAAAAUCAUUGAAGUAUUUAAUGACGUCCAAGUAUAACAGUACUCUCAGAGGAGGAUUCAGAUAGAGUCACAGAUUUUUCAGGGGAAGUACACCCUUAUUAUAUACAUGAAAACACAAAGUUCUAUAGUACUAUUUAGAAUACGAGCAGAUGUGCUUUAUCAGAUAUUGUAUGCUUUAUAAGAUCCAGUUUAAAAUCUGAUAAAGCACAGACACUCGCGUGUUUUAAUGGCUUAGAAAACAACUCAUCUGACGAAGUAAUCUAAACUCAUCUGACGAGUUCAUUGGCGAAGUAAAAUAAACGUUGUCUAAGCCGAGAAAACUAAAGGCUAAUGUUUAAGUAGGUUCGGUCCGCCCAGCCGUUCCCUCUUGGGGGCUCUCUUGGAGGGAACGGCUGGGCGCAUGCAGUGCGUUCCGUGUCUGAUCACGUGUUAUUACCAAUUCCAAUAUGCGAUAUUACUGCAUAAAUUAUAGAAUGUUUAUGGAUGAGUAAUAAAACAAGUCAUUAUUAAAUUAGCCAGAAAUGCUUGGCAGAUUGGAAUAAGAACGCGAUGAAUUGACUGAUGUAAAUUAGCAUCUGUUCGUGCUUGUUUUGUUUGUUCUACUGAAGUUGAAAAUGUAAAGUGUCGAACGAAAAUCGUAGGGAGAACGCGGGAAUUGCUGGAAAGUGCUUGUGAUAGUUUGUGUAUUGCUAAAGAAACAGUGCCAUGCGAUAAAUAUUUGUGCUGUUCAUGCCUGAAACAAGUUAACAAGUGCACCAAACUAUAACAAGAAAU